UAGGGAAUCUUCCGCAAUGGACGCAAGUCUGACGGAGCAACGCCGCGUGAGUGAAGAAGGAUUUCGGUUCGUAAAACUCUGUUGUUAGAGAAGAACAGCGCAUAGAGAAACUGUUAUGCGUGUGACGGUAUCUAAGCAGAAAGCCACGGCUAACUACGUGCCAGCAGCCGCGGUAAUACGUAGGUGGCAAGCGUUGUCCGGAUUUAUGGGGCGUAAAGCGAGCGCAGGCGGUCAAUUAAGUCUGAUGUGAAAGCACCCGGCUCAACCGGGGAGGGUCAUUGGAAAUUGAUGUACUAGAGUGCAGAGGAGGAUGGUGUAAUUCCAUGUGUAGCGGUGAAAUGCGUAGAUAUAUGGAGGAACACCGGUGGCGAAAGCGGCUUUCUGGUCUGUUACUGCCGCUGAGGCUCGAAAGCGUGAGGAGCGAACAGG
rnacentral:rRNA from 1 species